GAGCCUCUUCCACAACUACAGGGUCUUCUGUGCCUCGCAGUCGUGGACCUGCAAAGCACCAGCUUGGAGACUGCAUCUCAGAUGUCUGUCAGCUGACACCCCUCUUAAACAUGAUGGAGGUGACCUUGGGUGAAGAAAAGAUUAUCUCCCUGCUGAGAACAUACAAACCAAACAAGUUUUGCAAUAUUUGGAAAGACAAGUUUACAGAUUUUUGC